CAGGAAUGAACGUGGAAUGGGCCAGAAAUUUCUACUUCUGAUCAUCCUCUGUUCUCCACUGCUAAAAUCCACUUGGGUGGCUAAGGUCAAGAAUAGCCCCAUGGAAAAUUUCUUCAGUCAAGAUGUCAAGACAAUAAGUGUGAAUGAGGACGUGGCGACGAAGGUGGUAAGAACUACGAAAGGAGGCACAGCAAUGCUCACAUAUGUGAACCUUCGGACCAUGUAAAAGAUUGGUACCAUCUCCACCUGCUGAAGA